GCCUCCCAAAGUGCUGGGAUUACAGGCAUGAGCCACCACGCCCAGUCCUAACUUCUCUUAUAAGCAGAGGUGAUAAACACCAAAAAUGGGGGAAGUGAAUCAAGAGAGGAAAGGAGAGCAGACUCAACUCAGUAAAAUGAUGAGGAACACAGAAGAAUCUUGCCUCCUCCAGGAAGCACUCCCCAGCUUCUCUGGAACAACUAACUAACCUCUUCCUUCCAGGCUUGCUACAGCAGUGACCAUCUGAGUCAGACCACCCAGACUGCUAUGAAGAGGCAUGUAUUGAGGACCCCUCACCUGGUAUCCACAUUUAUCUCCAGCUCCCUCCAGUAUUUACUCAGCUCCCAACUUACAUCCAUUCUCCCAAGCCUGCUCUCGGCUUUGCUCCUUAGGCUGAUAACAUCUGUGGCCUCUCCAAAUCAGACCUUCAGUUCUCUCUCUCCUUCUCAGAAGUCACUGUUGAGUCUGUCUGCCCCCACGUUCCCAGGGAAACCACCUCCCACCUCCCCCAGCCUGAGUAACCUGGGCUCAAUGGUGAUACAUUGAUGUCUUAGUCUAUUUGUGCUGCUAAAAGAAAAAACCACAGAUUGGGUACUUAAUAAACAAUAAAAAAUAUUUUUCACAGUUCUGAAGCCUGGGAAGUUCAAGAUCAAGGAAGCAGCAGGUUUGGUUGUGAGAGCCCAAACUCUGCUUCCACGGUGGCACCUUGUUGCUGCAUCCUGGGAGGGGAUGAACGCUGUGUCCUCACAGAGCAGAAGGGAUGAAAGAGGUGAACUCGCCCCUCAAGCCCUUUUAUAAGAUCACUAAUCCCAUCUGCAAGGGCUAAGCUCUCAGGGCCUAAAGGCCCCACAUCGUAAUACUGUUGUGUUGGGCAUUUAGUUUCAACAUGAAUAUUGGAGACACACAAACAUGCAAAACAUAGCAACAGAUUUGUGAUAUCUACCUAGGACACCCCUACCCAUUUCCCCUGGAAACUGCCCAUCCCACCCCUAAUCCCUCUCCAGGGUCACCAUAGGGGCCAUAUUUCCUCAGACCCUCCCACCCCCUCUUCUAUGCCUGAGAAGCUGACUAGAUCCAGCCUCAUCAGAGCUCUUCUCCCGGAAACUUUCAACUGAAACAAGACUUCAUCUCUCUCAGGGCCCUGUGGUCUGGAGCAAACUUCCUGGCUGUUUAAGGGUUAACUUCAUCUUACACCACAGGUCUCAGCAGCAAAGCACCAUCCCAGAGAGACCUGCCCACUCGCUUUGCUUCUGAUUACAGAAUUUAACUUAUGCCUGGGCACAGUGAUGCACACCUGUAGUCCCAGCAACUCAGGAGGCUGAGCAGAAGGAUCACGUGAGCCCAGGAGUUCAAGGCCAGCCUGAGCAACAAGGCGAGACCUUGUCUCUUAAAAAACAAGAAUCUAGCUUAUAUCCAGGCAGAUAGAGGAGAGCAGUGGAUACCUAUUGCCUGACUCAUACAUCAAACCGCGGGCCCAGUCCACAGGAAAAGGCAAUAGAACCUGAAAGGCAUUCCUGGAUUCUAUGCCAUCAUGUGAGUCUAGUGGAUGUGUCUAUAAGGCGUGUUCCCCACUGGGAAUCCAAACUCACAAGGUUAGAGGUGGUGCUUUUUAUUUCUGUUCUUAUCUCCCUGAGGGCCUAGUAGGAAGACAGAUCCAAACCAGUGUUCAGUAUACAUAGAACACUGAAACCUAGAUUUGCAAAGGACCUGAGGAACUCAAGGAACCAGUGGCCCAAGCCCUUCAUGUCAGAGAUGAAGAAAAUGAGGCCUCAAGGGAGGAUGAUGCUGCACCAAAUCCCCCAGGGAAUGUGUGACAGCCUUCACGCUUACAUAAAACACGAGGAUUGAAAAAAAAGCCAAGACAGAAAUUCUUCAACCAGACUCUCUGAUUUAACUCUCCUACAUGUGUGUCCCUAGUCUGGGGAAAACUGGAGACACAGGUCAAUCCUCAUUGGUUUAUUUAUGCUGCGUAUGCUUCCCCCAAAACUUAGUGCCUUAAAAUAGCAUCAAUUCACUAUUUCUCAUCAUUCUUCCUCCACAACCAAACAGACAUGCAUUGCGUGAAUCUCCCUCUGUGCCUGGCCCAGGGCUUCGUCGUGCUUGGGGCACAGAGUUUCAUGAUAUCUGGCCCUGGGCUAAGGGGGGGGUUCUAUUUCUGGGUUUACUGGGUAGCACUACAGGUCUCUGUGGCUCACCCAGGCCACUGCAUUCAGCUGCAAGCUUGUCUAGGAGCUUCAGUUAACCUGACUCUCUGUGGUGUCUUAUCUUCUACAACUCCUUCACGUGGCUUCCUUGACAGCCCAUAGCCUAGAUUUCCUUAGAACAUGGCAACUGGAUUCCCAGAAGAAAAGCCCCAAUACCUGAACACUUUUAAAGACUUUGCUUGCAUCAUGGCUACUAAUGUCCCAUUAGCCAAAGCAAGCCACAUGGCCAAACUCAGAGUCAAUGUCAGAUAGGAAAUGAAUACCAGGAAGUGUAGUUCAUAGGGGACAUCCAUGUACCUGUCUGCCACAUUCACUAUCCCCACAGAACAGACGAGUUCUUCCCCUCCCCAGUGCCUCACCAGGAAGAAAUUGACUGGACAUGGUCCUGAACUAAGUGAGCUUCUAUCUCUGGCAGUGUUGGAGACUGAAUACCCCAAACUAUCCUCUCACAGGACAACAACCACAGAUGCUGGAGACAGUUUUGUAAUGUUUUCAAUGUAUUACCAAACUUGGAAAAAAAUUAGAACAAUUCUCAGAGGCCAGAAAUCAAAGUGGAAAAGGAAGCCAGAGAGAUAGGCAGUGGGAAGUCUGCUUUCACCAGGGCUCUCUGCUGGGCCCUGGUGCAUCUGAGCUUCCGUGUUAAUGACCACAUUCCAUGUGGGAGAAUAAAAAUGGAGCUGGGCAGUGGUAGGAAGUCCAACAGGAGAUUCCAAAUGAAGCUGGAAUCCCAAAGGACUAGAAUCUACUCCAUAAGUGUGAACAGGAGAGAUGAGGGAAGAAACGGAAAACAUAACCUGCAUAGAAGCAACAGGAAAAUUUCCCCAUCGCUACCUCAAAACUGUGUAGAUGGAAACAAUACCUCCCUGAGAAUUCAUAGCCACUAGAAAGCUGUCAUGCAUAUUUACAGAAUAAAUUAUUACUCUUAGUGUUGUUUAAAAGACCCUGUAUUAGUCUGCUCAGGCUGCCACAGCAAAAUACCAUAGACUGAGCAGUUUAAACAAUAAAAAUUCAUUUCCUCACAGUACCAGAGGCUGGAAAUUCAAAAGCAAGGUUCCAGCGGGGAUGUUUUCUGGUGAGGUCUCUCUUCCUUGCUUGAAGACUGCCCCUUCUCUCUGUGUCCUCACGUGGCCUUUGUUCUGUGUAUGCAUGCAGAAAGAGUGCUCUUGUGUCUCUUCCUCUUUUUAUAAAUUAUAUUAGAUUAGAGCCCCACCCUUAUGACCUCAUUUAACCUUACCCAUCUCCCUACAGGACCUAUCUCCAAAUACAGUCACAUUGAGGGUUAGGACUUCAACAUAUGAAUUUGGAGGGUACAAAAAUAUUCAAUCCAUAAUAGACUCAAAGUUUGACAUUUAUUUUAAAAUGAAGCAAAUACAAAUUCUUUUUUUUUUUUCUUUUUGAGAUGGAGUCUUGCUCUGUCCCCCAGGCUGGAGUGCAGUGGUGAUAUCUCAGCUCACUGCAAGCUCCGCCUCCUGGGUUCACGCCAUUCUCCUGCCUCAGCCUCCCGAGUAGCUGGGACUACCAGUGCCCGCCACCACGCCUGGCUAAUUUUUUGUAUUUUUAGUAGAGACGGGGUUUCACCAUGUUAGCCAAGAUGGUCUCGAUCUCCUGACCUCGUGAUCCACCCGCCUUGGCCUCCCAAAGUGCUGGGAUUACAGGCGUGAGCCACCGCGGCCGGCCGCAAAUACAAAUUGUUUCUAAAAGAAUACAACUUCAUUCCAGUAAUCAAAGAAUUCCUGCAGAUAAAUAUCCAAGGAAAAUGAGUUAACAAUAUUUUUAAAUCUCAAAACACUUGAGGAAACAAGACACUGUGAAUGUGGAAUCAGAAGUGGAAAUAAUGACAUGCAAUAUAAAAUUGGUACAUUUACUGUUUAAAAACAUAAAAAAGAGAAAACUACAUGAAUAAGGAAUAGGAGAAGAUAAAAAUAAACAAGCAGACCUAAAAAGUAGUACUUCUCUAAAUAAAAAUAAAAUAAUUGAAAUUUAAAACUUAAUGUGUAGGCUAAAGAGCAGACUGGCUACAGAUAAAGGAAGAAUUCAUGAAAGAGAUUCUAGAGAAAUUACCCUGAGUGUAACAUACAGACAUCAAGCUGGAAAAAUAUAAACACAAGGUUAAAAAUCAAGGAGAGUAGAAUGAAUGAGGAGAGUGACAUCAGCAAGAGAGCCGACUAGAAGCCCCUAGUGCUCAACCCUUCUACAAAGACAACCAGAACAAAGAAUAAACAAUGAUAUUUUAACAAAAAUAACUAAAGGAGAGCACUGGAGUAUGUCAAAGGAGUAACAGAAACUUUGGUGAGCACAGAAAGUCAGGACAGCCACACAGAGAAUGGAAGGAAACACCAGGACACCACCUCAUCCCUCAACCAGGAUCAGCUGGGAACCAGGAGGAACUGCUCCCUACAGUGAAAGGUAGGCAAGAGGAUCCCAGCAGCCCCCACCUACACCUUGGAUAUCUCAGACCUCACUGCUGGGGUCCCCUGCAGUCCUCACAGGCACUAAGCCCAGAUGGGAAGCUUCCUGGAGGCCACAUAGCUGUGGUCCCCUCAGGGAAGGAGCUGGCACUGUGCCCCUCUCAUGUGGUUUAAUCUGCUACUGUGCUACACCAUCUAGGAACUAGAAGAACUGCUGGAAUGUGUCUUACUCUGAGGGUGAGUAGCUAUGGUACCCCUUCAUCUCUGAGGCUAAACUGCCAUCAAACUACCCCCACCCAGUGGCCACCCAUCCCCAAGCCAAGCUGUAAGCAAUUGCUACUCCCUUCCUCGUGGGGCCAAGUAGAGGUGGAAUUGCUUCAUUUACCCCACUCUCACCCCCUCAGGCUAGAUCUUCUUGGGUAAAUGGUGCUGUGGCAAAACAGCUCCAUCUACCUCUCUCAACUGUAGCUGUGCCCUGUCCCUAAGUGCUCUGAGAUGAAACUGCACACUGCCUCCUGAGGAAAUGGUGCCUUGGAAAAGCCCUGCAUUGCAGAGAAACAGUAUCUGGGCCAUCCAGAAUAGUCGCACUCCUAGGCCUGAGCUGAAGAGGCACAUCACCUUCUGGGAAAUUGCUGCUUUCGCUGACCUGAGCAGCUACACAUCCUAGGGCUAAGCUGACAUAGUACCCUGCAUCUCAGGAAAACAGAGCAGUGGCUGAGCUGAGACACCCCACACUACAGGCCAAACAACUCUAGCACCCUGCUUCCCUGGAGCUGGACUAGCACUCUAGAGUCUGAUCUACUGAGACACCCCUCUCUCUGCAGUGAGUCAUCACUAUACUGUUCCCUGUCCUCCGGAGUCCAAAUGACAGCUGUGUUUGGCCACUCUGGGGAACUUUCUGCUGCUUUACCUGGUUCCAUAAGGUCUGGGAUAUUGCUGAGCCCCACCAUCUCAGGGUCUAGAGUCACCACUACACAAUGCCUCAUCCCAAAGGACCUGAGAUGCUACUCAGCCCUAUUGGCUCAGGCUACAGAAUUACAGCCAUACUCUGCACCCUGGGCUCAAACUUCCAGAGCAACCCUUCUUCCCUGGAGUUGGGCCAGGGUAGAAUCAUAGCUACAAACCAACCGCCUGGACCCAAACUGCUAGGUGGUAUCUCAGACUCACAGAUCCUAGUGCUGCAGGCAAGCUACAUUCAACCAUGCCACAGAGCAAAACUAUACCCCAAAAUUCAGGUGCCACAUAAGUUCCUGAGAACCUGAGACUGGGACCCUGGCCCCACAGCCACUCCAAGCAUUUGUACCUGAAACACAGAAUCACAGCAGCUGCUUCUAGACCAUAUGAGGCCAGACACCAAGAAGGAUCCCCUCAGUUACGUCUCCCCAUUGUGGGAAAAAUAAGAAUAGGAGAAGUCUAAAAGCCCUUGCCACUGAGGACAUUAAACACCUAUGCUAACACCACUGCUACCACAGACAUUUAUAGCCUAAACAGUGAGGUGCCCACAGUUAUUGCUGAUGUUGAACAUAGAUUAAGAAAUGGCAUGAAGACUGUACCAUUUCACCUACCCAGAAACAGAGUCACCAUGCCCUUCCCAAGUGACAUACUAAGACCCAACUGUGGGUGAGAGUUUUUCUCUACAAAAGCCACUCUAGAAAGUUUAGAAGUGACUGUUCCACCAGAUGCACAGACAUCAAUGCAGGGACACAAUAAGCAAGAAAAAGCAAGGAAGCAUCACACUAUCAAAAGAAUAUAACUCUCUAGUCAUAGACCCCAGUAAAAAUAAAAUCAACGAAUUACCAGAAAAGGAAUUCAAAAUAAUGAUCAUAAUGAUCAUAAGGAAACUCAACAAGAUAUACAAAAAUACAAAUAAGACAUUUCAACAAAAUUAGGAAGUCAUAAUAUGAAUAAGAAAUUCAACAAAGAGAGAUAUCAUAAAAAAGAAUGAAACAGAAAUUCCACAGCUGAAGAAUUUAUUGAAUGAAAUAAAAAUAUAACAGAGAGCUUCAAUAGAAGACUUUAUUUAGCAGAAGAAAGAAUCAAUGAACUUGAAGAUAUGUUGUUUGAAAUUGCCCAAGUAGAGGGAAAAAAAAGAAAUUAGAAUAAAAAAGAGUGAAGAAAGAUUUAUGAGUCACCAUUAAGGGGGUGAGGUAUAAAAGACUCAUAGGGUCUUUUAUGAUAGGGUGCAGUGUAUACUGCUCGGGUGAUGGGUGCACCAACAUCUCACAAAUCACCACUAAAGAACUUACUCAUAUAAGCAAAUACCUACUGUAUACCAAUAACCUAUGGAAAAAGGGAAAAAAAAGAAAAAAAGAACAGAGCAGAAAUAAAAUUGAGACAAAAGAAUACAAAAGAUCAACAAAACAAAAAGUUAAUUUUUUGAAAUGAUGACAUCCACAAACCAUUAGCUAGGCUAACCAAAGAAGAAAGAGAAAAGACCCAAAUGAAUAAAACCAGUAACAAAAAAAGGAGACAUUAUGACAGAUACCACAGAAAGAUCAAGAAUCAUUAGAUACUAUUGAAAACAACUAUACUCCAACAAAUGGGAAAACCUAACAGAAAUGGAUAAAUUCCUGGACACAUAAAACCUUCCAAGACUGAACUGAGAAGAAAUGAAAAAGCUGAACAGACUAAUAAUGAGUAAUGAGAUUAAAUCAGUAACAAAAAGUCUUCAAUCAAAGAAAGGCUCAGGACCUGAUGGUUUUACUGAUGAAUUUUACCAAACAGUUAAAUAAGUGCAAACAACAAUUCUUCUCAAAAUCUUCCAUAAAAUUGAAGAGAAGGGAGUUUUUCCAAAUUUAUCCUAUGAGGCCAGGAUUACUCUGAUACCAAAGCCAGACAAGGACACAACAACAACAAUAUCAAAAAAUUCUAAGCCAAUAUCCCUAAUGAACAUAGAUGCAAAAAUCCUCAACGCAAUACUAGCAAACUGAAUCCAACAGUACAUUAAAAAGAUAAUUCAUCACGAUAAAGUGGGACUUAUCCCAGGGACAUAAGGAUGGUCCAACAUACACAAAUUAAUAAACAUACUUCAUCACAUCAACAGAACAGAACCAAAACCACAUGAUCAUCUCAAUACAUGCAGAAAAACAUUUGAUACAAUUCAACAUUGUAUCAGGAUAAAACCCUUCAACAAAGUAGGUAUAAAAGAAGUAUACUUCCAACAUAAUAAAGGCCAUAUAUGAAAACCCCACCACUAACAUUAUGCUGAAUAGGGAAAAGCUGAAAGCUUUUCUUCUAAGAACUGAAACAAGACAAGGAUACCUACUCUCACCACUCUUAGAACAUAGAACUGGAAGUCCUUCCCAGCACAGUUAUGCAAGAGAAAACAUAAAGUACAUCCAAACUGGAAAGUGGGAAGAAAAAAGUGACUCCAUCUCGGAUGCUAAUCUGCCAUGUUGACUUCUGAAUAGCCCCAGUCGUGUGAAAGCCUCCUGAUUUCUACUUUAUUUACUGUGCUUAGUGUUAAGUAUGUCAACCUUGAUAUUACUGCACAAAUUAUAGGCUAUUACACAUACAGCAUUUUGCCCAUUCUGGAGGGUUGUCUUUAAUUGUCUUGCUGGAGCAUGUUUAACCUUUUCCUAUGCUAUAUAAGCCUUGAGUCUGCAGAGUAACAGUGCAGUGAUGUACUUGUCUUGUGGCAACCCAGACCAUGUUUCUGUCUGCAAGUUCCCCAAUAAAACACACUUUGUAGACAAACUGGAUUUGUCUGUUUUGUUUUUUGUUUCCUCUGCCCCUUCAGCUUUUGGGGGCCAGUUUGUGUAUAUGACCUUUUCACUUAACAGAACGAAAGAAGACAAAUUGUCCCUGUUUUCAGAUGAAGUGAUCAUACAUACACAUACCUUAAAAGCUCCACCAAAAAACUCUUAUAACUGAUGAGUGAAUUUAGU
rnacentral:lncRNA from 10 species